rnacentral:lncRNA from 1 species
AUCAUCAACUACUAGGUCUCUCCAAGUAUAAGCAAACGAGUAGAUUUUUCAUAAACAUUGUUUCCCACUGUCUACUACACAUUCAAGUAAACAGACAUUAUAAAGGGACAUAUAUAUAUGCAUACAUGAAAAAGCUUAUUGGACAUGAACCUCAAAUAUGUAUGUACUAGAGAAGUAAAAGAAAGCAACAUACGUCGAAUCCCCAAAAAUUUCGAUAGGCUGCUCCCAUAUAAAUUUGUUCUGCUGAUUAAGCAAUCAUUGCACACGUGCGAAGGACGACUACAUGAGGAAGUAUUUAGACAAUUCUCAACCAGAAUAAAGAAAUAAGCUUACAUGCUCUCUGAAUUUAAACAUGAAUUGCUUGAUGGGAAUGCAUGACAUGCUUUCUCCAUCAACUAGGCAAUUUUGGUUACAUCAAUAGCUGCCGUGAUUUUUUACCUGGUUUGUGUUACAACCCAUCAUCAUCUGUACACCUCAGCAGCCAGAUGAGAAUACCAUUUGCUGGAACAAGAAUUUAAGAGCUCAGUAGCAUGUUGUCGGAACUCGUUUAUCA